rnacentral:rRNA from 1 species
UACGGGGGGAGCAAGCGUUGUUCGGAUUUACUGGGCGUAAAGGGCGCGUAGGCGGCCUGUGCAAGUCAGUUGUGAAAUCUCCGAGCUUAAUUCGGAACGGUCAACUGAUACUGCUCGGCUAGAGUGCGGAAGGGGCAACUGGAAUUCUUGGUGUAGCGGUGAAAUGCGUAGAUAUCAAGAGGAACACCUGCGGCGAAGGCGGGUUGCUGGGCCGACACUGACGCUGAGGCGCGAAAGCUAGGGGAGCGAACGGG